AUCUCUCAAAUUCGUCUGAAAUUGUAUUGUUAUUUUCCUUGGAUUGUUUCCACUUUCCACAACACUCUUGCCAACUUUCUAUAAUAUGAACAAAAUUCUCUAACGUUCGUAACCUGAAAACGACGACGGACCUUUUUUCAUUCUCCGCCAUAUGCAUUAUGUACACGCAAAGUUUGGAAAAGAGAGGAAGAUCCUAUCCUAUGCUAUGCAUCGCAUUGAGUACAUGGAAACUGGAUUGUCCGUAUGGAUAACUCUUGGGUGAUCGCUCUCCAACCCAUAAUCCAUCAUCGGACGGUUCUCCAUCUCUUCAUCAUGAUCAUAAGCAAACUCUGGUAUCUCAAUCUCGUUCCUCCUCACGUGGUCCCACAGAAACUCCAAUCUAUUCAUGUAUUUCAGCUUCCAAUAUAAGCCUCCACUGAAAAGAAGACGACCAAAGGUUGCAAGAAAGAGUCUGGCUUGUAAACCAGGGUGCACAAAAUAAACAACCUGGAGAAGAUUCUUGACGUUGAUUGGAAUUGCUUCAUAAAUUGAUCGUAAAGCUGAAAUCCCAGGGAAAUUUUCGCUCCUUUGAACAUCAGUAUGCACAUAUACAAUUGAGAAAGGCCCUUCCUCCAAUUUUGGGAAGAUUUUCUCCCCCAAGUAUUUGUUCAAUACCUCACUACUCACCAGUCGAGCAGGGAAGAGCUUGCCGAUGAUGAGAAGAACCUUUUGGCCACGCUUAUCUCGGCCUUGGAUCUUGAAAACAUCGAGUUUCUGGAUAAGAUUUUCUUGGUCAGAUGGCGAAAGGAAAGUAGUAGAAAAAGAAGCAGAGGAGCUCAUGAUUGUUAUUUCAGUUGGGUGGUUAAGAGGGAAUCUGUAAUAAAGAAAGGAGUUGGAAAGGCAAGAGACAACGGGCAGAGGAUGGUGGGUUUUAUAGGGAAAAAUUCAGGAUAGGGAUUUAUCUGUAUAUCGGCACUCUGAGCCGCUGGAUGGUGUCAUAUGGUGCAGGAAGAUCAGAAAAAUCAGGUAUAUGCUCAAGCAUCUUCUGUUUUUUGGAUUGACCUGAAC
rnacentral:misc_RNA from 1 species